rnacentral:rRNA from 1 species
UACAGGGGGUGCAAACGUUGCCCGGAAUCAUUGGGCGUAAAGCGCGUGUAGGCGGCCCGGUAAGUCCGCUGUGAAAGUCGGGGGCUCAACCCUCGGAUGCCGGUGGAUACUGUCGGGCUCGAGUACGGAAGAGGCGAGUGGAAUUCCUGGUGUAGCGGUGGAAUGCGCAGAUAUCAGGAGGAACACCAAUAGCGAAGGCAGCUCGCUGGGACGGUAUUGACGCUAAGGCGCGAAAGCGUGGGGAGCAAACAGG